AUGAGAUAUGAUAUAAAAUAAUGAGAUAUGUUAUAAAGUUAUAAGUAAUGACAGAGAUAUAUUUUAUAGUUAUAGAUAAUAAGAUAUAUUUUAUAAUAGUGGAAAGGCUGAUUGUAUGAAUCAAGUGAAUGGUGUGUUGUAUGAUUGCAUGCAUGUUUACAUGUUAAAGAGAUAUUAUUGGUUUUUUUUUUUAAAUGCUGUCUAUCAACAAGACUAAGUCCAUCACUUUGAAUUGAUGCUGAUUUUGGUACAGUAUAAAUGUAGUAUAAAUGUAGAUACAGGAGUUCAUCAGUAUACAUAUAAUUGUAUCACUAUGUAUCAAUGCUAAUUUCGGUACAGUAUAAAUGUAGUGUAAAUGUUGAUUUAGGAGUUUAUCAGUUUACAUAUAAUUGUAUCACUUUUGAUAUUAGAGGUCAGUACUGCAAUGACUCCUCUGAUGUCAGAGGAACAUUGUCUUUUUAAAACUCAAGUCAAUAACUGUAUAAAAUGUUAAAACUUAUUCUGAUAUAAAUGUAUUACUGUGUAUCAACUAUGUUCUAUUAUAUGACUAAAUGAUAGACCUGAUAUAAAUGUAUUACUGUGUAUCAACUAUGUUCUAUUAUAUGACUAAAUGAUAGACCUGAUAUAAAUGUAUUACUGUGUAUCAACUAUGUUCUAUUAUAUGACUAAAUGAUAGACCUGAUAUAAAUGUAUUACUGUGUAUCAACUAUGUUCUAUUAUAUGACUAAAUGAUAGACCUGGUAUAAAUGUAUUACUGUGUAUCAACUAUGUUCUAUUAUAUGACUAAAUGAUAGACCUGAUAUAAAUGUAUUACUGUGUAUCAACUAUGUUCUAUUAUAUGACUAAAUGAUAGACCUGAUAUAAAUGUAUUACUGUGUAUCAACUAUGUUCUAUUAUAUGACUAAAUGAUAGACCUAUAGAGUUGAGUAAUCUUUUAGAAAUAUUUCAUAUAAUCUAAAAAAUACUUUUGAAAAAGUAUAUCUUCUUGAAACCUCAUCAUACCAGGUAAAUGAUACAGGGCAAAUGGGCAUUGUGUUUAUAAGAAAUGUAUCCAAUAUACCCUAAAACAAUUCUUACUUGUAGGAUUACACACUACAUAUUCAACUCGUCUUUCAGGUUUGGCCAGACAGUUCAUAAAAUAGUAUACAUCACAAUCUUUCACUCCCUUUUGGGUGAGACAUGGAGAUCUUAACCGGAGAGGAAAGAUUCUAAAGUUGUCAAACACAAGGCUUUAUUAUUUUAUUCUGAGGGCUGUGGUCACCGUCUCACUACCAUAGGGGUCAUUUGAGGGCUGAGGUCACCAUCUCACUACCAUAGGGGUCAUUUGAGGGCUGAGGUCACCAUCUCACCACCAUGUGGGUCAUUGGAGGGCUGAGAUAAACAUCUCACCACCAUGGGGGUCAUUUGAGGGCUGAGGUCAACAUCUCACUACCAUAGGGGUCAAUGAUUAUUUUUUCUUACCCUGUUUACUCUCGUAUACAUCUAAUGCUGAUGUUACGUCAAUGCACGACCAUGUUGACAAGACCUGAUUGAAUUGUCAAUGUGCAUGAUGUCAUGGUAUUGUUGCUAGCUGGGACAACAUUAAAUUGUUGAGAAUGUACAAAGAACAUUGUGUAAUUUGUCUCAACCCUAAGGUGACACAAGAAAAUCUCACACCAGUAAAACUGUGGAUAUCCCUGUCCAGGGUAAGAGAACGAUAGAAUCUUACAUGGGUCUGUUCUGUAGCCAGAGAUAUCCCAACCUUUGUGUAGAAGUUGGGUGGUCAGCGCUAUCGAGGCUUGCCGCGUGCCCUAGUACUGGGCAGGCAAACUCUUACAUGAGGGUGAUAUCAUCCCUAUACACUGAACAGGGAUAUCUUAAUCCUUCUGUAAGAGUUGGUCUGGUCUGGAUAAGGCUCGCGAACUAUAUCAUAUGUUUGAUUAUAUCUUUCUUUCAUAUUUCAAAAAAUAAUAACAAAUUUCAAGUUGUUGACGCGAACAUAUUCAUUGCACCAUCAUCAGUGUCCCAUGACGUUACCAAUUGCGACACUACAUAAAAUGAUGACCUGACCCUGUAGUGAGUAUGUAUAUCAUAGUACAUAUGUAUGUGCCAGCUGUAUAUCCCUAUCCCUUGUGGGAUAGAGUUUUCUCCUACCCUGGACAGGAUAUCCACAAUUUUACCAGUGUGAGAUUUUCUUAUCUCACCCUAGAGUUGAGACAGGCUAUGUACACAUGCUCUUUGCACAUUCUCAACAAUUGUAUCAUGACAUGGGAACGAUUCAAUGACAUCAAAUCGAUGAUCCAAUAAGGUCAUAUGAUAACAUGGUUGUGCAAUAAACAUCAAUAUCAGACAUGUGAGAAGAUAAAUACGGUAGGAGAAAAAUAAUAAUUCCCCGACUUGGGAGUGAGAUCUCAUUCCUCGGGGUAAGAUGCUUCAGCUGUCAAACACUCACCAAGCCUCAUAUUUGUCAACUUCAGAACUUUCCCCCUUAAUUAGGUUUAGAGUCCAUCGUCUCUUCCCAAGGGGAUUAAAGAUUAUGUUUAUGCCAUAUACCUAGCAACCACUGGAUCACCCUGGUGUGAAGGAUUUAGAUUCAGAUUCAGAUAUUUCCUUGUGUCUACAAUACAACAAUACAAUAGUACAGAUAGUGUUGGACAAUCAUACCAUUAUAUCAAUCCACCAGUUAUAUUAUAUAUAUCUUUCUCUGGAAGAACACAUUGCAUGGUAUAGCAUUGAAUGAUAGCAGUAUGCGAUACAUUUACUUACAUGAUGUCAUUGAUAUUAAAUGAUAAUUAUCAUACAGUUAAUGCACUGAUACUUUAUCAUUGAUUCCAUCAUCGACUGUAUUUCCAAUUCAGAACAAUUCCUUGAUGGUAUUAAAGCCGAGCAGCAUGUAAGUACUUUGAAGUUGUUUUUAGACAUACUUUUUAAGAAAAGUUUGUUAUAAAAAUGCAACAGGACCUAUGCAAUUUCAUCAACUUUCAUGUUUUUCUUAUUAUUGGAUUAAAUUUUAAUGGAAAUUUCUUAGUUGUGGAACUUUUCUUUUAAAAUUCUCUAAUGCCUUCCUAUGGACAAUUUUAAGUCCAGGAACUUCUUCAUUUGGCAUAUAUAAGUUCAUCUUACCUGGGGUUCCCUUCUCAAUAACCAAGAAGUCUAUAGGGUCAUGAUAUUGCACUUGUAGCAUGAAGGGCUAACUACCAUGUUUAUUCAAAUGAAUGAAUUAUCUUGACUUUCUUUGAAGGUCACAGGGUCAAAUAUCUAUAAACAACAACUUAUUGUAAUUAAAUGGGUCAUGGAAUUGGGCCAAUAUCAUCUAGUGAGAUGAAGGGCUAUGAAGUAUGUUCAAAUGAAUGACCGAUCCGAGCCAGCUAUCAAGGUCAUACUGGGGUCAAAUAUGCUAAAAUCUUUAAACAGUUUCUUCUCAAUAACCAAGAAUCACAGGAUUAUGAUAUAGGGUAAAGUUUGUUUGUUCAAAUGAAUGACACUGUUGUUAAAAAUUUAAUGGCCUUGCAAACCUGUCAAGGUCAUAGGGUUCAAAUGUGUUUCAAUAUUCAAAUGUCUUCUAAAUAACCAAAAGGCCUAGGGUCAUGAUAGUUAGUCAAUUAAUAUGCUGAGAUGAAUAUCAUGGCUAAUAGAUUUAUUCAUGACAAAUGAAUAAAGCUUUAUAUCUUUUCAAGGUCACAGGUCUAUGUGUUAAAUGUUAGUUUAUAUGCAAACAUCAUCUAUCACUGUACAUAUAGCAUCUGGUGAGUGAUAAAACCCAUGGGCCUCUUGGUAUUCAAACAUAUUUACUGUGACAUUGCAACUGCAGUCAUGAAAAAGAAGAAUAUAUUUUUUGCUACAAGUGACAAUAGUUGACCAGAAAAUGUGGUACAUGCCAAUAAUCUGAACAGUCAUUAAAUGCAAUUAUAUUUUAAAAUAAACACAACCGUGCCUCAUCACUGCUACAUGUAGGUGUGCCUCAUCACUGCUACAUGUAGGUGUGCCUCGUAUGUCAUAUUAAUACAACUUUUUGUUGUGUACCAAGUGCUUAAUAAUACAAUUAAUUAUCACAUUUAAGGAUGACCCCAGAGGCUACCCUAUACUUUCACAAUUACAAGUGAAUGCAAUUAUUAAAAAUUCAGGCUUAUUAUAUUUUAGUAUCUUUUUAAAAAGAAUUUACAUUUUAUUUGUAUUGUUUUGUCCAUAACACUUUUAUAAAAGUCAUUUUAUCACAAAAUAUUUCUUCUAUCUAUAUUCUUAAAACAUUAAAUGUUUAUAUCUUAUACACUUGUAUUUGAAUUUGAAAGUGUUAACUCUUUGAACAGGUUAUAAAUACAAUCAUGUAACAUUCUCUAAAAUCUUGUCCUGUAAACAAGGUCUAUCCAGUCAAUAUCAUAGCUUCAUAGGUUUAAGUAAAUGCACGUGUCCGUUAAAUCAUUACAGUUUUGUAGUUGAUGUGUCCAGCAAACAUCCCCAAUGGCAAUAAACAACGGUAUACUUAUGAAUUUUUUUAUGCCAUAGACAUAUUUAAUGUUGAAUGUAUUUUGUGAUAUAUAUAUAUGUUUUUUAUAGAUAAUUUUGUUUCUGUACAAGUUUAUUUAGGAGUAAUAUAAUUGAAAAGAUAUACUGAUUUUUUAUUGAAAUUGGAAUGUUUUAAUGUGGAAUGGUGAUGUAUUAAAACAGUCAAACCCUAA